rnacentral:rRNA from 1 species
GACGGAGGAUGCAAGUGUUAUCCGGAAUCACUGGGCGUAAAGCGUCUGUAGGUGGUUCGAAAAGUCCACUGUUAAAAAUUGAAGCUUAACUUCAAAGAUGCCGUGGAAACUUUCAAACUAGAGUGUGGUAGGGGUAGAGGGAAUUUCCAGUGGAGCGGUGAAAUGCGUAGAUAUUGGAAAGACCACCGAUGGCGAAGGCACUCUACUGGGCCAUUACUGACACUGAGAGACGAAAGCUAGGGGAGCGAAUGGG